ensembl:rRNA 5S_rRNA 5S ribosomal RNA
GCAUACGGCCAUACCAGCCGAAGAACGCCUGAUCUCGUCUGAUCUCGAAAGCUAAGGAGGGUUGGGCCUGGUUAGUACUUGAUGGGAGACUGCCGGGGAAUACCAGGUGAUGUAAGCC